rnacentral:tRNA from 1 species
AUCCGAGUGCUGUAAUUGGUAGCCAGGGAGCACUUAAACUGCUUUGAUGAAAUAUCGUAGGUGUUCAAGUCACCUCUCGGAUA